UCCUGUUAAGUCAGGCAACGAACGAGACCCUUGCAUCUAGUUGCCAGCAGAUCCCUUCGGGGAUGCUGGGUACCCUAGAUGGACCGCCAACUGGCUAAAGGUGGAGGAAGGAAUGGGCAACGGUAGGUCAGUAUGCCCCGAAUAUCCCGGGCUACACGCGAGCUACAAUGGUUGGGUACAAUGGGUAUCGUACCCCGAAAGGGGACGGGAAUCUCCUAAAACCAAUCUUAGUUCGGAUUGAGGGCUGCAACUCGCCCUCAUGAAGCUGGAAUCCGUAGUAAUCGCGUUUCAACAGAACGCGGUGAAUACGUCCCUGCUCCUU
rnacentral:rRNA from 1 species